AACGAACGCUGGCGGCGUGGAUAAGACAUGCAAGUCGAACGGAUUAACUAUUGUAGCAAUACCGUAGUUAGUUAGUGGCGUAAGGGUGCGUAACACGUGGGCAACCUGCCCGAGAGUUGGGGAUAGCCCGCCGAAAGGCGGAUUAAUACCGAAUGUGGCGAAGGGACAUCACUCUGUAGCUAAAGCCGGGGCAACCUGGCGCUCUUGGAUGGGCCCGCGGCCUAUCAGCUAGUUGGUGAGGUAACGGCUCACCAAGGCUAUGACGGGUAGCUGGUCUGAGAGGACGACCAGCCACACUGGAACUGAGACACGGUCCAGACACCUACGGGUGGCAGCAGUCGAGAAUUUUUCUCAAUGGGGGAAACCCUGAAGGAGCGACGCCGCGUGGAGGAUGAAGGUCUUCGGAUUGUAAACUCCUGUCAUUGGUGAACAAGGCCCUCGGUUAACUGCCGUUGGGUUUGAUAGUAGCCGAAGAGGAAGAGACGGCUAACUCUGUGCCAGCAGCCGCGGUAACAC
rnacentral:rRNA from 1 species